rnacentral:rRNA from 1 species
AUUGAACGCUGGCGGCAGGCCUAACACAUGCAAGUCGAGAGGAGCGGCGGACGGGUGAGUAAUGGCUAGGAAUCUGCCUGGGAGUGGGGGAGAAAGUCCGGAAACGGGCGCUAAAACCGACUACUAUCAGAUUAGACUAGGUCGGGUUGGAUAGUUGGGGGGGAAAAGGCCUACAAGGGCGACGAUCAGUAACCGGUGUGAGAGGAUGAUCAAUCACACUGGAACUGAGACACGGUCCAGACUCCUACGGUAGGCAGCAGUGGGGAAUAUUGGACAAUGGGCGAAAGCCUGAUCCAGCCAUGCCGCGUGUGUGAAGAAGGUCUUCGGAUUGUAAAGCACUUUAAGUUGGGAGGCGUUACCAACAGAAUAAGCACCGGCUAACUUCGUGCCAGCAGCCGCGGUAAUUC